GAGUUUGAUCCUGGCUCAGAACGAACGCUGGCGGCAUGCCUAACACAUGCAAGUCGAACGAGAUCUUCGGAUCUAGUGGCGCACGGGUGCGUAACGCGUGGGAAUCUGCCCUUGGGUGCGGAAUAACUUCUCGAAAGGGAUGCUAAUACCGCAUAAUGUCGUAAGACCAAAGAUUUAUCGCCCAAGGAUGAGCCCGCGUAAGAUUAGCUAGUUGGUGGGGUAAAAGCCUACCAAGGCGACGAUCUUUAGCUGGUCUGAGUAGGAUGAUCAGCCACACUGGGACUGAGACACGGCCCAGACUCCUACGGGAGGCAGCAGUGGGGAAUAUUGGGACAAUGGGCGAAAGCCUGAUCCAGCAAUGCCGCGUGAGUGAUGAAGGCCCUAGGGUUGUAAAGCUCUUUUACCCGGGAUGAUAAUGACAGUACCGGAG
rnacentral:rRNA from 1 species